GGCCUAACACAUGCAAGUCGAGGGGUAUAGUUCUUCGGAGCUAGAGACCGGCGCACGGGUGCGUAACGCGUAUGCAAUCUACCUUUCACAGAGGGAUAGCCCAGAGAAAUUUGGAUUAAUACCUCAUAGUAUAUAGACCUGGCAUCAGGAUUAUAUUAAAGUCACAACGGUGAAAGAUGAGCAUGCGUCCCAUUAGCUAGUUGGUAAGGUAACGGCUUACCAAGGCUACGAUGGGUAGGGGUCCUGAGAGGGAGAUCCCCCACACUGGUACUGAGACACGGACCAGACUCCUACGGGAGGCAGCAGUGAGGAAUAUUGGACAAUGGGCGCAAGCCUGAUCCAGCCAUGCCGCGUGCAGGAUGACGGUCCUAUGGAUUGUAAACUGCUUUUAUACGAGAAGAAACACUCCUUCGUGAAGGAGCUUGACGGUAUCGUAAGAAUAAGGAUCGG
rnacentral:rRNA from 1 species